CUUCACCAUUCUUAUUUCCAACCUCGACUGGGCUUUCUUCCAUUUCCUCCUCUUCUGCCUGGAUGUCUUCUAAGAAUACUCACUACACUCCUUGCAUUAACUGAAGUUUGGCUUUCCCUGGGGCCACAGAUUCUCCUGGGGCUGGAAAGAGCAGAGGUUGUUCACUCCCUGGAGCCCAAGUGACUUAGGAGAGGAAAAGAGAGGACCGCAGCAUGUUCUUUGACCUUCAUUGCCACUCUCAUUAUUCUUCUACCCUUGCAGAAAAUCUCCAUCUGUUUGGAGAAGUACUGCGUCCUUCCGGAUUAUCUUCUACACUAUGCCUUAUUGUUAUCUGCUACACCUAUGUUUUAAGACACAACUUCCUGAUGUUCCAACUAUGUGUGCUGUUAGAGAUAAAUUUCUGAGCUACUGAAGAAAAGGAAAAUCUUGUGGUCAAAUGAUGUUCCAUAACUCAAAACAGUGACACUGUGGUCAUGUCCUAAGAGUCCUUUUAGGAUCUUUAAUAGAAGAUUCUAACAUGACAUAGAGGAAUGAACACAGGCUGGUUCCACCACCGGUCAGAAGAAUGAAAAUUGCAGAUACCUAUUCUGUGUGUUUCUCUCCAGAAUGGUGGAUGUUAGAGACCCUACUAAGGAUUUGUGGACUCACUAACGUAGUCUCUAAAAGAUGGAAGAUCAAGGCCAAGGCAGCAGACUGAAGCCUAGAAAAGGAGGAAAGAAAGGAAGGCUCUGGAAAAGCCCCAGGGAGAUAGCAGGAGACAGGCCAGGACAUUGAUGAGGAGCUGAGACUUCCACAUAGUUUUGUCAGGGUAAACCCUGCAAACCAUACGUACUGGGGAUAGCAGUUUGCUGAGGAGUGACAACCAGACCAAGAUGUGACACACAAGAGUCAAUGAGAGGAAAAUUUCAUCAAUUGUAUAUUUUGAUGAUACAUGAAAAGAAGAACUUGGUACUUAAAAGCCCUGAGUUUUUACCUUGGAGUAACUCUGACAAACUACACCUUUAGCGGCCAGCCCCAUGGUCACUUGUCACAGAAAGGAUGCUCUUGGUGCUGGAUUGAUCUGCACGGUCCCAAUCAGCCACCAUCCUUUAUGGUGGAUAAUUGAUUAACAAUCAAGUGUUUUCUUCAUAAAUCAUAAUUGUUAACCUUUAUGAAAUCAAUAUGACAAGUUAUUGAGUUCUCAAAAGUGAAAUCGGCAAUUAUUUCUCAUCGGAAGUUAACCCGCUUCCUCCUUUUUUUCUUCAAAAACAUACAUACAUGCAUGCAUACAUAGAUACAUGCAGGCAUGCAUGCAUAUAUACGUACAUACAUACAUGUAUGUAUAUAUGUGUUAGCAUAUAUCUGUCAACAUGAACUAAUAUACUGACUUAAACUGUUUAUUAAUGUAACCGAUAAAAUGAUUUAUAUUAAUUAAAAUUUCAUUCCCUCUUUUAACAUUUGUAGUUCGAUUAGUUAGGCUUCAGCCAGGGAAACAGGAUCCAAUCUCAGUGCAUAAAACUGAGGGAUUUUACCCAGCACUUUGGGAGGCCGAAGCGGGCAGAUCACGAGGUCAGGAGAUCGAGACUAUCCUGGCUAACACGGUGAAACCCUGUCUCUACU
rnacentral:lncRNA from 10 species